UAACCUCUCGCCACGAGUAAUUUCAUUACGACUGGCUAGGACUUGGGUGCUGCCGGCCCUGCGUCGGCUCGCCUCGAAAUGCAUUAGUGGGGACCUGCCCUGCGCGGUGUUGAUAAUUGUCUACGUCGUGCCAGGUGUUUGGCUCUUUGCUUCGAACUUCCCUAGGGAAACUUUUCAAA
rnacentral:misc_RNA from 1 species